CACCAAAACGAUGAGAAAAAGGUAAUUUCAAUGGUUGUGAUGGAUAGUGACGUUGUGGGAGAUUGUUAUAGUAGUGGUCGACGAGAACGACACGGUAGUUGGCCUUACCAAUGUCGAUCCAAACAUCGAGGACGAGGAGGCAGAGUGGUAAGGCAUCUGCGUUGGUGCCAGAGGAGGAAGAUGAGGGAGGUGAGGUAUUUGCAUCUACGUCGGUGUUGCACCACUCUGCUUCCUCUUCCUCCUCUGGCGUUGCUUUGCAUUUGCGUCAUCACUGGAGGAGGAAGAGGAGGCAGGUGAGGCAUCUGCAUCGUUGAUGUCGAGGAGGGAGAAGGAAGAGAAGGUAGGUGAGGUAGAGCAGUGCGAUGCCGACACAGAUGAUUGUGAUGAUCUUCAUUUUAUGUAUUUUCCAUCUUUGCUUUGUUUUCGUUGCUUUGGUUGGGUUCUUAAAAUAUGAGAUGAUAUUUGUGGGUAGCAUGAUCAUGUUACAAAAUGAAAAACCAUGAAUCCAGGUCUGCCCUGCAAGCAUUUAAAUGCUGAGUGGCUUAUUCCAAUGUUGACUUGACUAUAAUCGUAUCCUUUUGCUGACUUCUGGGCGUUUCCAUUCCUAUAGUUUUUGAGACAUCUAAUUAGCUGUCUAGUUGUUUUCCAACAUAAAUGACAAGACAUAGUUGGAUGGAGGACAUCAUCAAUCAGACAUAACUCUGAUAUGCCUGAGGUAAUAUUGUGUUGUUUCCAGUACCUCCGUGGGUAUCAGGAAGUCCAUAUCUGUGCUUUCAUAUAUCAGUUUUCUCCGGUGGGAAGAUUCUUUGAAUGAGAGAUACCCACAUAUUGUAUACGAAGAAUACUCAGCAGGAAGCAUAAAUGAUAAGUGCGUUACUGAUUCGCUUACCAAGUGUGACUGUGAUAUGAUAGAAGAAAUGCUAGUAAUGGGCCUCACACGCUUAUCUUGGGAAAGAGUGGAUGUCAGCAUCCAGAGGUUCACUGCACACAGUGUCAUUCAGGUUAAGGAUCCUUUCGAGCAUUCAGAAGGUGCAGAUGUUAUACAACAUAUGAUUGAUCACUUUCUCAUUUGAGAGAGCCAAUGGCAUUUUGGGAUUAAGCUGUAAUUAUAUUGCCAUGAACUGAUAAAGAGCACAUGAGUAUUCAAUGCCAUUGGGUAACACAAGAUGCAAAUCUAGUUAAGUCAGCAGCCUCACAGUCUACUUGAAUUAGAUCCUCAGGUUCUCAAAUAUUUUUUUACUUUCAUCAGUGGCAAAUGUAUUAUGUUACAUGAAAACAUAAGUUCCAACAUCAUAUAAUAGUAAUUAUUAUCUUCCCUCGAUUAUUUCCCCUUUGCUGAAGUAGGGGGAAACGUCCUAUAGUCUCCAACAGAAAUAAGAUUAGCUGAAUGCUCAGAGAAGUGGCUCUACACAGUGUUUGCAAAAUUUACAGAGGUUUGUUCUAGGUUAAAACUAAAUUUGAUGGACAAAAAGUAGGUGAGCUGAUCCCAAGGAAACUGCGGUGUCAAAAAAAAAGGAAAAAUGUCUUUGAAACUUGUAAAUAAGAUCGAACUACUUAUGAGGUUCGUUUCUAGAUUCUC